rnacentral:rRNA from 1 species
UACGUAGGGUGCAAGCGUUGUCCGGAAUUAUUGGGCGUAAAGAGCUCGUAGGCGGUCUGUCACGUCGGCUGUGAAAACCCGAGGCUCAACCUCGGGCCUGCAGUCGAUACGGGCAAACUAGAGUACUGCAGGGGAGACUGGAAUUCCUGGUGUAGCGGUGAAAUGCACAGAUAUCAGGAGGAACACCGGUGGCGAAGGCGGUGCUCUGGGCCAGUACUGACGCUGAGGAGCGAAAGCG